rnacentral:rRNA from 1 species
CCUACGGGUGGCAGCAGUGGGGGAUAUUGCACAAUGGGGGAAACCCUGAUGCAGCGACGCCGCGUGGGUGAAGAAGUAUUUCGGUAUGUAAAGCCCUAUCAGCAGGGAAGAAAGAAGACGGUACCUGACUAAGAAGCGCCGGCUAACUACGUGCCAGCAGCCGCGGUAAUACGUAGGGGGCGAGCGUUAUCCGGAUUCACUGGGUGUAAAGGGAGCGUAGACGGCCGGGCAAGAGAGGAGUGAAAGCCCGGGGCCCAACCCCGGGACUGCUCUUGGGACUGUGCGGCUGGAGUGCGGGAGGGGCAGGCGGAAUGCCUGGUGUAGCGGUGAAAUGCGUAGAUAUCAGGAGGAACACCGGCGGCGAAGGCGGCCUGCUGGAACGCGACUGACGUUGAGGCUCGAAAGCGUGGGGAGCGAACAGGAUUAGAUACCCUUGUAGUC